rnacentral:tRNA from 1 species
GGACAUAGCUUAAUGGUAGAGCAUCUGCUUUGCAUGCAGAAGGUCCCAGAUUUAAUCCCCAGCAUCUCCA